rnacentral:rRNA from 1 species
GAUGAACGCUGGCGGCGUGCCUAACACAUGCAAGUCGAGCGAACGGACGCGGAGCUUGCUCCUUUGACGUUAGCGGCGGACGGGUGAGUAACACGUGUAUAACCUACCUAUAAGACUGGGAUAACCUCGGGAAACCGGAGCUAAUACCGGAUAAUAUAUUGCACCGCAUGGUUCAAUAGUGAAAGACGGUUUUGCGGUCUCUUAUAGAUGGAUCUGCGCCGCAUUAGCUAGUUGGUAAGGUAACGGCUUACCAAGGCAACGAGGCGUAGCCGAACUGAGAGAGUGGUAGGCCACACUGGAGCGGGACCAGGGACCAGAGUCCUGCGGGAGGCAGCAGUAGGGAAUCGGCCGCAGUGGGCGGAAACCUGGCGGAGCAACGCCGCGUGAGUGAUGAAAGUCUUGGGAUCGUAAAGCUCUGUUAUUGGGGAAGAACAAAUGUGUAAGUAACUAUGCACGUCUUGACGGUACCUAAUCAGGAAGCCACGGCUAACUACGUG